rnacentral:misc_RNA from 1 species
AACGCAUCUUGCGCUCCUUGGUAUUCCGAGGAGCAUGCCUGUUUGAGUGUCAUUAAAUUCUCAACCCUCCUUGCUCUUGUGGCUUGAGAGUGGAUUGGAUUGUGGGGGUAUGACUUGCUGGCCUUUCUGUUAAGGUCAGCUCCCCUGAAAUGCAUUAGCGGAACUGUUUGCGGUCCCGUCACUGGUGUGAUAACUAUCUAUGCCAACCGUGAUGACUGCUCUCUAGGAGUUCAGCUUCUAACCCAAGUCCCCUUAGGUGGACAUUUUUUGACUUUUGACCUCAAAUCAGGUAGGACUACCCGCUGAACUUAA